UCCUAUAUUUUAGAUGUUUAAACCUAUAU
rnacentral:piRNA from 1 species